UUCCGCCCCUUCUUGCGCAUUUCACUUGCUUCUUCCAGUGUUAGACCCUUUGGAACCCGUUGAAUCAACCUCGGGUACAGGGGUAAUAGGUUUCCACAGCAUAAGAGGAAAGCGAGGACGAGUUUUGUGGUUGUAGUUUCUGCCUCGGAAAAGGUACACCACCCCUGCUUUCCUGUAAAUAAUCUUUCCUCCAGUUCUUUCCUCUAAUUGCUGGCAAACGUUGUCC
rnacentral:misc_RNA from 1 species